UCAAUUCUAAAAAGCAGCCCCUUAUACCACUGUGACACCUGCAGGACAGGUGUGGCACUAGCAGUGAAAGAGAGGUGCAGUCCUAACUAGGAGCGACAGGGGUCUCUCUCCAGCACAUUUCUCUUGGUUCUAGAGAUCAACCGGCCGCAAGCUGAACGAGUCCGGCGAACAACCAGGGCGAUGUCACUGUAUUCGGGUGUCUGAAAGUCCUCAGCCGUUAUAUACAUUAUAAACGAUUUGGUAAGUUAAGGCUUCUUUUUAUCUGCAGUACCGUGAGUCUUGAGCCCUUGUAACAGAAUCCACAGCUGUCAUUCAGGAGCCGGGCCCGCCCCCAGAGUGACCUUCCUCAGCGGACACGCCCCGUCCACCUGUUCCACAGGUGCGCCCGGCAAGAUGGCGGCGGGGUGAGGUUCUGCGGUGUUAGGUGCGUUUGCGUUUUCCUUCUAAUUUUCUUAUUUUAAAUACAAAAACUCAAAUUUUACUUAGAGGAAAGUUAGACAAAAAAUGUUUUGUUGUUGCAACUUUUGUUAAUUGCAUUUGUUCCUGUUUAAUUUGUGUUUUAGGACGCCGAAAUGAGUGUUCUGUUUGAGCGUGCUCUCGACGUUUUAGAAGUCAUUUCUGCGGCUCCUGGUUAUCUGGUUCUCCUUUCCAGCUCCACUCCAGCAACUCGACGAGCGUUGGUGCGCCUGGCAAGAUGGCGGCGGGGCGAGUGUCUGCGGCGUUAGGUGACAAAGGGAUUUCAAAAACGGGCCACAAGUUAUUAAAGUGUUUUUUCCGAGGUAAGUUGUAUUCUUAUCUUACGCUAUAUUUAUGUAUUAAAGUCGACAUGUAUUUCAC
rnacentral:lncRNA from 1 species